UCCGGUUGAUCCCGCCGGAGGUUACUGCUAUCGAGGUUCGACUAAGCCAUGCGAGUCGAAUGUAGCAAUACAUGGCGUACUGCUCAGUAACACGUGGAUAACCUACCCUUGAGUCGGGGAUAAACCCGGGAAACUGGGUAUAAUACCCGAUAGAUCUCGACUGCUGGAAUGCAUCGAGCUUUAAAGCUCCGGCGCUCAAGGAUGGAUCUGCGGCCUAUCAGGUAGUAGUGGGUGUAGCGUACCUACUAGCCUACGACGGGUACGGGUUGUGAGAGCAAGAGCCCGGAGAUGGAUUCUGAGACACGAAUCCAGGCCCUACGGGGUGCAGCAGGCGCGAAAACUUUACAAUGCUGGAAACAGCGAUAAGGGGACCUCGAGUGCCAGGUUACAAAUCUGGCUGUCGUGAUGCCUAAAAAGCAUUGCAUAGCAAGGGCCGGGCAAGACCGGUGCCAGCCGCCGCGGUAACACCGGCGGCUCGAGUGGUAACCGUUAUUAUUGGGUCUAAAGGGUCUGUAGCCGGCCGGAUAAGUCUCUUGGGAAAUCUGGCAGCUUAACUGUCAGGCUUUCAGGAGAUACUGUCUGGCUCGAGGCCGGGAGAGGUGAGAGGUACUUCAGGGGUAGGGGUGAAAUCUUGUAAUCCUUGAAGGACCACCAGUGGCGAAGGCGUCUCACCAGAACGGACCUGACGGCAAGGGACGAAAGCUAGGGGCACGAACCGGAUUAGAUACCCGGGUAGUCCUAGCCGUAAACGAUACUCGCUAGGUGUCGGCCACGGUGCGACCGUUGUCGGUGCCGUAGGGAAGCCGUGAAGCGAGCCACCUGGGAAGUACGGCCGCAAGGCUGAAACUUAAAGGAAU
rnacentral:rRNA from 1 species